rnacentral:rRNA from 1 species
CCCUUAGAUGUUCUGGGCCGCACACGCGCUACACUGAAGGAGGCAGCGUGUACUCCUGGAUCGAAAGAUUUGGGUAACCCGCGAAUCUCCUUCGUGCUAGGGAUUGAGGUUUGCAAUUAUCCUUCAUGAACGAGGAAUUCCCAGUAAGUGCAAGUCAUAAGCUUGCGCUGACUACGUCCCUGCCCUUUGUACACACCGCCCGUCGCACCUACCGAUUGAAUGAUUUAGUGAGGACUUCGGACUGGGACCGAUGCGGCUUUCGGGCUGCGUCGGUAUUCUGGAAAGAUGUCCAAACUGUAUCAUUUAGAGGAAGUAAAAGUCGUAACA